CCCAUCCUUUGGACAGAUGACAUCUAAGCUCUCCAGAGUUGAGGCUAAAAGACCUACAGGUGAUACAGAAAGAAGUCUGGUCACAGCUGGCAGCAGCCUAUGCCCCGGGGACCCCCAAGACAUCUCAUCAGUUCCAGGUCGGAGACUCGGCUACAUACGAUGGCACCGAACCCAGAGACUCGAGCCUCACUGGAAAGGACCAUACCUGGUGCUGCUGACCACCCUGACAGCCAUCAAUUCUCAGCCCUCACCAGCCGUGUACUAGCUGUUGGGGCUGAGAGCUGGGACCUAGAGGGAAACUCAGAUCUUCAAAAAGCUCCCUAGACUUAAUUUCAUGUUUGCCCUGGGUUCUAUCAAGAUAGGUGUGGGUAUAGGCUUGAUUUCUAUUACAAAUGAUAUAACAUUGCAUAUGUUAGUACUCCUAACACUUCUUGGGACUGUGCCUCAGGGAUCACAAUCUGUAUAAGUUUAGAAGUUCUAAAAGCUAGUCAUGACCUUGGUGUGUAGGUUUAGAUAGUGUCCAGAUUGGAAUCCUGAUGCUAAAGACUUAGUAAGAAAAAAAAGAGUUGAGAAUUACUUAAGGCUAUCUAGGUGCUGCAAGGGCAGCACAAGGACAUCUGCCAUUGCCCUGCAAUGCAAGGCUUAUAGAGAAUUCAGAACUGCCAUUGACUCAGAUAUAAAAAGAGGGAAAGACUUUUUAGCUGACCUCCAAGAAUACCUAACCUCCCUCUCAGAGGUAGUACUUCAGAAUAGGAGAAGAUUAGACCUGAUAUUCCUUAAAGAAGGAGCCUGUGUGCUACACUGAAAGAAUGUUGCUUCUAUGCAGACCAUUCAGGAGUAAUUAAAGACUCCAUGAAUAAACUCAGAGAAAGGUUAGACAAAAGACAGACAGAGAAGCACAUCAGGGAUGGUUCGAGAGCUGAUUUAGUAGAUCUCCUUGGAUGACUACUCUGAUAUCUUCCCUUAUGGGACCCUUCUUAGUUUUGCUUCUGCUUCUGAUUAUAGGUCCAUGUGUGUUAAAGAAACUAGUUAAUAGGUUUGACUCCUACAAAAAGAUAGAGACGCUCAACAAGGUUGGUUUGAGUCUU
rnacentral:lncRNA from 1 species